rnacentral:rRNA from 1 species
AUAUUGCACAAUGGGCGAAAGCCUGAUGCAGCAACGCCGCGUGAGCGAAGAAGGCCUUUGGGUCGUAAAGCUCUGUCGGGAAGGAAGAUAAUGACGGUACUUCCCGAGGAAGCCCCGGCUAACUACGUGCCAGCAGCCGCGGUAAUACGUAGGGGGCGAGCGUUAUCCGGAAUUAUUGGGCGUAAAGAGUGCGUAGGUGGUUUUUUAAGCGUGGGGUGAAAGGCAAUAGCUCAACUAUUGUAAGCCUUGCGAACUGGAAGACUUGAGUGCAGGAGAGGAAAGCGGAAUUCCUAGUGUAGCGGUGAAAUGCGUAGAUAUUAGGAGGAACACCAGUGGCGAAGGCGGCUUUCUGGACUGUAACUGACACUGAGGCAUGAAAGCGUGGGUAGCAAACAGG